GAUGAACGCUGGCGGCGUGCCUAAUACAUGCAAGUCGAGCGAACGGACGAGAAGCUUGCUUCUCUGAUGUUAGCGGCGGACGGGUGAGUAACACGUGGAUAACCUACCUAUAAGACUGGGAUAACUUCGGGAAACCGUAGCUAAUACCGGAUAAUAUUUUGAACCGCAUGGUUCAAAAGUGAAAGACGGUCUUGCUGUCACUUAUAGAUGGAUCCGCGCUGCAUUAGCUAGUUGGUAAGGUAACGGCUUACCAAGGCAACGAUGCAUAGCCGACCUGAGAGGGUGAUCGGCCACACUGGAGCUGAGACACGGUCCAAACUCCUACGGGAGGCAGCAGUAGGGAAUCUUCCGCAAUGGGCGAAAGCCUGACGGAGCAACGCCGCGUGAGUGAGGAAGGUCUACGGAUCGUAAAACUCUGUUAUUAGGGAAGAACAUAUGUGUAAGUAACUGUGCACAUCUGGACGGUACCUAAUCAGAAAGCCACGGCUAACUACGU
rnacentral:rRNA from 1 species